CACGUAGGGGGCGAGCGUUGUUCGGAAUCAUUGGGCGUAAAGGGCGAGCAGGCGGUCCUGCAAGUCCGGCGUGAAAGACCCCGGCCCAACCGGGGGGACGCGCUGGAAACUGCGGGGCUUGAGUACAGGAGGGGAUGCCGGAAUUCCAGGUGUAGGGGUGAAAUCUGUAGAUAUCUGGAAGAACACCAAUGGCGAAGGCAGGCAUCUGGCCAUGUACUGACGCUGAGACGCGAAGGUGCGGGGAGCAAAC
rnacentral:rRNA from 2 species